GCUUGAGGUUAGACCACAGGUUGAACCUAGGUGGCUGCUGGAGAGAAACACUCUGUCUUCCUGCUUUGAGGACAGCUGAAGUCUUGCCACUUCUUCUGGAUGCUCUGACCAUCAGUAAGAGACACGGUCUGACUUUGUUACCCCGGCUGGAGUGCAGUGGUGCAAUCAUGGCUCACUGCAGCCUUAACCUCCUGGGCUCAAGUGAUCCUCUCGCCAAGGCUAGGAUAAGUAGCUAGGACUACAGAUGCGCCCCAUCACGCCCAGCUAAUUUUACAACUUCUGUAGAGAUGGAGUGUUGCUGGGUUGCCCAGGCUGGUCUUGAAUUCCUGGGCUCAAGCGAUCCUCCUGUGUCCGGAAUUGGUGGGUUCUUGGUCUCACUGACUUCAAGAAUGAAGCCGCGGACCCUCGCGAGUCUGUAUCCACCAGCUACUCUUCCAGAUUCAUGAGGCAAGGCCUGCCUGCUCACCUGGCUGGCCCCAAGCACCUCUUCAACCUGUUGCCACCGUCCUGCCUUGCUGCCCUUCUCAGCUCAUCCAGCAGGGUCUCCAAGUCGUGGAAACAGAAGCACAUAUACACACAUGCUCAUAUGUACAUGCCCACAGUCACAUAAGCACACCGAGAAACACCAUCGCAGACAUGUUCUCACAAGCACAUGUGCAUAACACUCACUACCCCUCACGCGUAUACACAUUAAUACACACACUCAUGCACACUCAGUCUUACACACACAGACACACAGCCAUAAUCACUGUUGUUGGUUGAAUUGUGCCCCCCCAUCCCCACCAAAAAGAUAAGUUGGAGUCCUAACCCCCAGUACCUGGGGAUGUGACCGUAGUUGGAAAUAGGGUGUUUGUAGAUGUAAUCAAAUUAAGAUGAGAUCUUACUGGAUUAGAGUGGGCCUUAAAUCCAGUGACUGGUGUCCUUAUAAGGAGAAAAAGAUUUGAAAACAGAGACAUGGAGACACAGAGCAGAAGGCCAUGUGAUGAUGGAGUCAGAGAUUGGAGUGAUGCAGCUAUGAGCCGAGAAAUACCAAGGUGCUGGCAGCCCCCAGAAGCAAGGAGAGAGGCAAGGAACAAUCUCCAUCAGAGCCUCUGGAAGAAACAGACUCUGCCAACACCUUGAUUUCAGACUUUUGGCCUCCUUCACUGUGCGAGAAUACGUUUCUGUUGUUUUAAACUACUGAGUCACCAAGUCUGUGGUACUGUGUUAUGGCAGCCCCGGCAACAAAUCCAAUCACACACACACACACACACACACACACACACACACACACACACACACACACAGCUGGCUCCAGGCUCAGUGAUGAGCUCAGAGGAGUUCCCCUUGGGAGCUGCUCUUUCUCUGUCUUCCUUCCUUAGUGAUUGGUCCAGUGGAUCCACAAAAGCUCAUGGCCCAGAGCAGGAGCCCAGUCAUUUUUAAUUCCUCUUCCCUGGAGUUCUUAACCAUGCGUUGCCCUCAAAAUCUGCUCUCAAGAUUUGGGUUGCCAUAUUUAGGAGCACCAGAAAACAUACAGGAAUGCUGUGUCUGCUUGCAUCAUAUUAAUUAAAAACUGGAAAUAACCUAAAUGUCCCAGAAUAGGUACAUAAACUGUGGCAUAUCCACUUAAUGGAAUACUACUCAGCAAUACAAAAGGAAAACCUAGUGUUACUUGAGCAACAUGGAUGAACUUCACAGACAUAAUAUUGCACAGCACGAGGCAGACACAAAAGUGUGCAUAUGCUAUGAUUCCAUUUACAUGAGAUUCAAGAACAGGCAAAGCAGAUCUAUGGGGAUAGAAGUCAGAAUAGUGGUUACCUCUGGAAGGUGGAAUUGACUGGGAGGGGCUUCAGGGAACCUCCUGGGGUGCUGAAAACAUUCUGUGCUUGCACCGGGUGGUGGUUAUGUGGGCAUUACAUAAAAUUCACCAAGCUGCACCCUUAAUGAUUUGUACAAUUUGAUGCACAAAUCUAACAUCUCAAGAAGAAUAAAUUUUACAAAGUACCUAAGAAGCAAAUGACCAGAA
rnacentral:lncRNA from 1 species